GCCAUUUCUGAGAUCGAUGAAUAUGUGCAGGUCAAGGGAAACCAGCUGGUUGAAGCUUCUCUGCAUUAGUUCCCUGACUCACCCACAGAGCCGAUCUCGGAAGAGUUCACACGCGCCUUCACCACGCAGGAGGUUCGGGAUAAGUUUGCAGCCUGGAGAGCAUCCUUGUUAUCGGAGGACAUUACGAUUCCGGAUGGGUCGCACCCUGUUGGCCGGUUGCUCCAAGUGAGUGCGGCGCUGGACUCGAAGGAAAGUUUGGUAGUUCGCACCUGAUGGUGGGCAUGCUAGCCCCAUGGAUUAACGUGAGGUUUUCUCGUGGAGGUGUAAAGUGAGCGUGUCAACUUAGACUUCUAACUACAACCUGUAAUAUCUUAGAAUCAUUGUCUUUAGCCAGAGCGUGUUUCUAAAUUGUUUGGAUCCCAUAUUGUUCUGCAAAAAUUACAAAAAGAUUCACGUAAA